AACCUUGGUAAGUCGCCGACGCCAACCCGACAAGGACGGCAGGCGCCUAGGGUGGGGGGGUAACUGGAGGCG
rnacentral:rRNA from 1 species